GCUAGCGUAGCUUAGAUCAAAGCAUGACACUGAAGCUGUUAAGAUGGGCCCUAGAAAGCCCCGCCAGGC
rnacentral:tRNA from 1 species